UCCGUUAUGGUCUAGGUAAGCUCAACCAUCCUUCACCCUCUCACCAACAAUCACUAACCUCCGAAAAGUGGCUAGGAUACAUCGCUCUCAUAAGCAAGCGCCGAUGUGGCCGGGGUUCGAUUCCCCGUGACGGAA